rnacentral:tRNA from 1 species
GUGGUUGUGGCUCAGUUUUAGAGAGCUUGCCUAGCAUGCAUGAGGCACUGGGUUCGAUUCUCAGCACCACA